GUGCAAACUGGACUAUUUGUAUAUAACAUUUUCUAGGUUUUCUUCACUCCAGUGAUGAUUAGCGUUGCUAAAUCAUUUGAUGCUCCGAUAAAGCUUUUGUUCCCCACAGCAGAUUCUGCCCGGCCAUUUUCAAUGGUUGGCCUUGGUGACAUUGUCAUCCCUGCCUGCUCUUUUAUACAUUGUCCCUGCUGUAAUUGGAUCUUUGGCUGUUC